rnacentral:lncRNA from 1 species
GGCGUGCAUGACUAAAUAAAGAGAAAUAAAAAAAAGAAAAAUAUCAGAAUAUAUGGUUAACUUUUCCACGUUCACGAAUCACGAGCGCAAGCCCGCCAGCGUGUUUCUUGCCGCACAAAUGUUUGAACGCUUCCCCACGCAACCGGCGAAGCAGAAAGCACACCUCCUAACGCACGUCUCCGUGCCCAUGAACGCACGUCUGCAGUUUUAGUGCUUGCUUUUCCCGCCCCGCGCGCAAUACGACAUACACUUUUUUCCCGCUCACUCGUUCAAGCCGCUGUUUUCACCGUCUAUAAAUAAAUGUCCACCGACAGAUAAGCGGGCCGAAACAAAAAAAACACAGAACUGCCGUCAGGCUGAUGUGUUCACUCGACGAUUUCGAAAAGGCAAAAACCAUCCCUAGGCUGCUACUGCGCCGAUACAAAAAACAAAAAAAAGGGAGAGGUCCCAGGUUGUUCAUCGAUCGCUGCUGCCUAUUAGGUUCUGAAGGUGAAGGGCUCCAUCGACAAAAAACUUGGCAAGAAAACUCUCCAUCAAGCACCUCUUUCUAAAAGCACCUUUUUCUAAGACAUGCCUUAGAGAGAACUGGUCUCAGAGACCUCAAAAGCAUAUCCUUGAGGAAUAUCGCGUCAUUCAGUAACUUAAGGGCAUACCCUUAAGACAGAUCACGUUGUACGUGCAUAUACGCCGUUGUGGCCAUCGCAAAGGUCUACUGCAAGGUAAGAAAAGCCCCUCACGUUGUCACACUGAUCUUUGUCUUCUUUAUCUUCGUGUUGUGUUGUAGAUAUGAAAUCAGGAACAAGUGCUAAAUUUGAUAUCAUGCCAAAAAUAAUUAUACUCCACACAUAGGUAUAAAUUAUCGUGAAUAUAUGCGGUAAGUUGUACGUGGAAAUCGAAAUUCUAUGUUAAAUAUUGUUCAAAAAAAUAUAUUUGCGCGCUUCAUCGGCAAGAAAUUCCCCGUCAAGCACCUCUCUCUAAGGCAUACCUUAGAGAGAAGCUGGCUCAAAAAACUUCAAGGGCAUACCCUUGACCCUAUCAAGCACCUCUCUCUAAAGCAUACCUUAGACAUAAACAGGCUUAAGAAACCGCACGGUGUUAUACACCGUUCUAGCCUAUCAAAAAAAUAAAUAUUUAGUGCAAGGUAUGGUGGCCGAUCAGACUGCCAAGAUGAGAAAUGGGAAUAAUCGUUUGUCUCCACCCUUCAUAAGAUCAACGUGUGUGCUACCUGUUAGGGUAUUCAUACCAUUUUUUAAGCCAUAACCGCUCAUGCUAAUUAGACUGCUACAUCAUCAUAAAAAACAGCUGAAAUGCCACAAACAAAAAAAAAGAAAACAGUUGCGUCGGCUCAAACUAAACUAAACUAAAUAAUAUGCAAUAAAAUAAAAUAAAUAAUGAAUCAUGUAGGCUACGAUCUAGGCUGAUCUUAGACUUGUCUAAUUAAAAAAAGAGUAAAUAAAGAUAAAAAAAUGAAAAACCGUUCAUGUCAUAACAAACACAAAAUAAAAACAAAUUCUUUACACGGUAAGGUUGGUUCCCACCAAAUAUUAGUUUGACUAAAAUUAAUUAAUCAACUCCAUACAUUAUAAUGAAGUUCGGCAUUGCACUAUAGCAUGUCGUAUCAAAAAACAUACGAGAUAAAAUACCUCAUGCUCUUAUUUCAAUAUAUGUGUAUUCACACAAUCAACAGGCAAACAAUCUAAUAUCUAAAAGGCAUACCGACGUCCGAAAUAUGCCAUAUUUAUGUAUACUUGAAAUAUGCACUAUGUUAUAUCUAUAAAAAGUCACAUCUAACUAAGUCCUUAAACUAAAUUAAAUAGCAUCACAUAUAAUCUGUGGUCAAAUACCACAAUAUAAGCAUAUAUGUCUAUCUUGGUAAAAUAAAUUGAUUGCACAUGCCAUAAUUUAAUGUGGCGCUACAAUAUAUCUAUCCAAGACAAAUAUUUCAGCCUCAACCCAAACAAAAAUGUUGUAUGACCCACUAAGAGCAACUCCAAUAGUUAUGUAAAUUUUAGCUCUCUAAAUCACAUAUUUAAGAAGUUGCUAAAUGGCUUUUGGAGUAAAAAAUGUGAGUUCUUCAAUAGUUCUCUAAAUAUAGGUUAUAAUUUUGUUUUGUAUCUAUCCAUAUAAAAAAUAAGUCACAAAAACUACAUAAUGCCAUCAACAUUUUUGUUUAGGGAGUUGUUAAAUGGUUGCCAAAUAUACAGAAAAAAUAAGGUUAGAUGAUAAGUUGUUAAAUUUAGCAAGUUCAUUUAGAGAACUGUUGGAAAAUAGUUUUUAUAUUAACUACCUAAAUUAUUAAUUUAGGAAGUCUUUUAAAGAACUACUGGAGUUGCUCUAAGUAUGCAUAAAUUGUAAAAUAUAUCAAUUUAUGGUCCUGCAUUAUUCAAUAAAGACUAUUAAAUCCAGUCUUCAAAAUAAAUCAUGUGCAUAGGUAAUACAAUGCACUAUCAACUAAAGAGGCAAAUACUAAGAGAUGAAUUCUCUCUAAUCUGUCCAUGAUAAAGUAUAUGUAGUGUCCCAAAAGGCAUAUAUACUCAAAUAAUUAAAAAAGGUCGCAUGCCGAGUUAUUGAAAUUCAACGCUAUGUCAUAGCUUCAACAAAUGACAAGAUACUCAUAAAAAUAUAUGCGUGAAUUAAAAUAUAUGCAUAUUAUGAUUCGGCAAGGAGUUGACCAAGAUAUCAAAUAACCAUGCAAGAGGUAUCUCUUAGCUCGUCAACAAUGAAGUCACAUCAAACUUGCCAAGUUUAGACAAACACAUACAACUUUCUAGGACUACAUGAGGCGAAGACUUUUAUUUUCUUUUGUAGUUUGUAAUAGGCUAGCCAUAUGAUGUAAUCUUUCUUUUAUGUACUCAUGUUGGAACUCUUAAUCAGGGGUUUUCUCCACGGAGAUGUAAUUAACAUAAUUUUUAUGCAAAAAUAAGAAUUAUGGAAGUAUGAGUCUGCAAUACCUGUAUUAUUUACUCUAUUAUAUCUAAAUUAAAACUUGUCUCUGUUGGCGUGGAGAUGGCACUUUUGCCGCUGUGUUCCCGACAUCACAAAAUAAUCACCAAGUGUGCUAGGACCAAGUCUCACACAUAUGAUGACACAUGGUACAUAAACGAAUGUCACGUCUUUACUAUAUAAUAGGAGUUCUAUACAAAAUAGCUAAAUAAUUACAUCAUAUGCAGACAACGAUCCAGCAACCAUAAAGUUGACUGGGAGACGAUGGCCUAGACCACUCAUGAACUCAUCACAACAUCCUUCAUGCACCUCAUCCAGUGGUACCUGUCCUUGACCUGGGGGUUGUGAGUACAACAAGGGUGAGCUCACAUACGUUCAUCGCUCAACAAGUUGUGGAGAAUAAUGUGCAUAAACUUACCAAAGGUGGGAGCUCAUGUGAAGUGUAAGGCUUACCAAAGGAGAUGAUUAAAGUUAAGCAUUGCUUUUCGGACGAGGGAUUCCUAUAUUGCCCUUCUCAGAAACCGUAGCGAGUUUUCUGAAGCUAGUGGAACUUUGUAAAGGCCUCGUAGUGCUACCCUGCCUCGUCUCCUCGGCAGAGAUGAAUGGGAAGUCAUGAUCCCUUGGUAAAUGGGUAACAUGACUUGUGGAUAAAGGGUGCAACCUCUGCAGAGUGUAAAACUGGUAUAUCAGCCGUGCUCGCGGUCAAGAGCGACUCAAGACUCUCGCAUGACUAACUUAUGAAACUAAACUUAAUCUGUCAUAUGCAUUGCUUUGUGGUAUAUGUUAUUAAUUAUGAUCUCUUAUUUUAUUAGGAUGGUAUCUACUUAUACUUAGUAACUGCUAAUAAAAUUUUAACCAUUCUCUUUGGUAAGCCUUACACUUCACAUGAGCCCCACUGUAAGUGAUCUCAUGCUCAUUAUUCCCCACAACUUGUUGAGCGAUGAAUGUAUGUGAGCUCACCCUUGUUGUACUCACAUCCCCCCAGUUCAAGGAUAGGCAC